AUUGAACGCUGGCGGCAUGCCUUACACAUGCAAGUCGAACGGCAGCACGGGUGCUUUCACCUGGUGGCGUUUGGCGCACGGGUGAGUAAUACAUCGGUACAUGUCCUGUAGUGGUGGAUAGCCCGGCGAAAGCCGGAUUAAUACCGCAUACGAUCUACUGAUGAAAUCUGGUGCCCUUCUGUCCUCUCGCUUUUCUGUUUGCCUAUGGCUGAUUAGCUAGUUGGUGGGGUAAAGUCCUACCAAGGCGACGAUCAGUAGCUGGUCGGAGAGGACGACCAGCCAAACUGGGACUGAGACACGGACAAGACACCUAAGGGAGGCAGCAGUGGGGAAUUGUGGACAAUGGGAGAAAGGAUGAAACAGCAAUGCCGCGUGAGAGAAGAAGGACUUCGGGUUGUAAAGCACUUUAGUGAGGAAAGAAAAAAUUGGAAAUAAAACGGUCGGGGGAUGACGGUACCGGAAGAAUAAGCAACGGCUAACUACGUG
rnacentral:rRNA from 1 species